GGCCAUGUGUGCUAUAAAUUCUGAAAAUCGCAAGAAGCAACAAUGGAGGCAUAAAAUGGGACCAAUCAAUUUUGCAAGAGUGCGUGUUGAUUUGCGUGAGAAAAAAGAGAACAAAGAGGAACCAAAUCAAGCUGAAAUGUUUGUUGCAACUCGGAAUGGACUAAAAG